AGGGAAACCUUCCAGGAAAGAAAGAAUAGACACACCCCCGACCCAUAGCCGCAUACCCCAUGUACAUCCCUAGAGGUUCUCUUCCAUUUAGGGAAAAUACAUAUACAUCCAUAUAGACAGAAAGAAAAAGGGGAUCAUCUUUUGGGAGCAUAGAAAAAGGGCGCCAUUUUUGGCUCUUCUCUAUCUUUCCUGUUCGCAAUACACACUCACAUACUCUCCACCCACCAUCACUCUCACAUCCCAUCCAUCCACCAUGGACGCACACACAGAGAACUAAACAAAAAACGCACACUAUACGGAGAGAGUCGAGAACGCUAUAGAAAAACUGUGAGAGAAAGAAGUAAAAACUGUGGGAAGGAGCGAAAUUCCGGAUCGCCAGUCACUGUUCCGGUGAUCUACUCGCCGGAAAAACGUUAAUCCACCUACAACAUGCCGGAAUUCAGCCUAUUUCAGUCAGUUUCUUUCACUGUUAGCUCACCGGAGUCGAUUCGUCGAGGUUCUCAGUUCUCCGUCGAGAAUUGGGUCUGAGUUUCAUCGCUGUUUUUCUGAAACGAGUCGAUCAAUUUUGUUCAAGUCAGUCCGAGCUUUGGAUUAUUGAAGUCGGGAGUUCGUUGUUGGGAAUUUCUGUUCAAGGUAUUCCGGCGCCGCUCCGUCAAACAGUUCAAUUGAAAUAAUACGUCAAAUUUGAGGAUGCCUCAGGACCUUUUGUACUUAUUUACCGAGGAUGCCCCGACAUAUCAUGUACACAAAGCAGGUUCGUGGUGAAGGCCCACGGCAUCGGGUAAAGCAUUGCAGCUUAGCCUAGGAUUAGUGUAGGGUAGAAUAGGAUUUACAUUUUCGCAUUCUUUUUCUAUUUUGGACUGUGUAAUUGGACUGAACACUAAAUUUUGGAUUAUUUUGUUUGGUUUUGCUUGAUC